rnacentral:sRNA from 1 species
GGGCGACAAUGCCCUCAAUAGACCUCAUGUUUAGCGCACGGCUCUGCCAAGAGCCCUUUACCUGGACUGAAGACAGGAUUUGUCUUCAGUCUUUUUUU